rnacentral:rRNA from 1 species
GAUGAACGCUAGCUACAGGCUUAACACAUGCAAGUCGAGGGGCAGCGGUAUCGAAAGCUUGCUUUCGGUAGCCGGCGACCGGCGCACGGGUGAGUAACGCGUAUCGAACCUGCCUCAUACUCGGGAAUAGCCUUGCGAAAGUAAGAUUAAUGCCCGGUGUUUUCAGAGUCCCGCAUGAGGCUUUGAACAAAGAUUUAUCGGUAUGAGAUGGCGAUGCGUCCCAUUAGCUUGUUGGUGGGGUAACGGCCCACCAAGGCAUCGAUGGGUAGGGGUUCUGAGAGGAAGGUCCCCCACAUUGGAACUGAGACACGGUCCAAACUCCUACGGGAGGCAGCAGUGAGGAAUAUUGGUCAAUGGGCGGAAGCCCGAACCAGCCAAGUAGCGUGCAGGAAGACGGCCCUCCGGGUUGUAAACUGCUUUUAGUUGGGAAUAAAACGGGGCUCGUGAGCCCCCUUGCAUGUACCAUCAGAAAAAGGACCGGCUAAUUCCGUG